rnacentral:rRNA from 1 species
UACGUAGGGAGCAAGCGUUGUCCGGAAUCAUUGGGCGUAAAGCGCGCGUAGGCGGCCCUGUAAGUCCGUUGUGAAAGUCAAAGGCUCAACCUUUGAAAGCCGAUGGAUACUGCAGGGCUAGAGUCCGGAAGAGGCGAGUGGAAUUCCUGGUGUAGCGGUGGAAUGCGCAGAUAUCAGGAGGAACACCGGUGGCGAAGGCGGGUCUCUGGGCCGAUACUGACGCUGAGGAGCGAAAGCGUGGGGAGCAAACAGG